rnacentral:rRNA from 1 species
CGGGACGACGAACCUCCCGGCGCGGCCUGCGCCAAGGAUCACGUACUGGGGCCGCCCGCGUACGGGCCUCGCUCUUAGCGGGGAGGUGCGCGGUGUCGGUCGCCACGAACGAGUCUCCGAACGACUCCCGGCAACGGAUAUCUGGGCUCUCGCAUCGAUGA